AAUAGAUACCCGGGUAGUCCACGCCGUAAACGAUGAGUGCUAAGUGUUAGAGGGUUUCCGCCCUUUAGUGCUGCAGCUAACGCAUUAAGCACUCCGCCUGGGGAGUACGGCCGCAAGGCUGAAACUCAAAGGAAUUGACGGGGGCCCGCACAAGCGGUGGAGCAUGUGGUUUAAUUCGAAGCAACGCGAAGAACCUUACCAGGUCUUGACAUCCUCUGCCAACCCUAGAGAUAGGGCGUUCCCCUUCGGGGGACAGAGUGACAGGUGGUGCAUGGUUGUCGUCAGCUCGUGUCGUGAGAUGUUGGGUUAAGUCCCGCAACGAGCGCAACCCUUAAUCUUAGUUGCCAGCAUUCAGUUGGGCACUCUAAGGUGACUGCCGGUGACAAACCGGAGGAAGGUGGGGAUGACGUCAAAUCAUCAUGCCCCUUAUGACCUGGGCUACACACGUGCUACAAUGGAUGGUACAAAGAGCUGCGAACCCGCGAGGGUAAAGCGAAUCUCAAGUAAACGCCUAUUCUCGUAGUUCGGAUUGUAGGCUGA
rnacentral:rRNA from 1 species